rnacentral:rRNA from 1 species
UACGUAGGGGGCAAGCGUUGUCCGGAAUUAUUGGGCGUAAAGAGCGCGUAGGCGGUCCGGUAAGUCGGUUGUGAAAGUCGGGGGGCUCAACCCUCGGAUGCCGAUCGAUACUGCCGGGCUAGAGUCCGGAAGAGGCGAGUGGAAUUCCUGGUGUAGCGGUGAAAUGCGCAGAUAUCAGGAGGAACACCGGUGGCGAAGGCGGGUCUCUGGGCAAUAACUGACGCUGAGGAGCGAAAGCGUGGGGAGCGAACAGG